ACCCUCACGAGCCAAUUAAUUUUUGGUCGAGAAAAACUCCGCUCGACCAAUUUGAAGUUGGUCGAUCAGAUUUAAAAAUAAAAUCGACCCGGUGAAUUAAUACCUCGACGGGACUGUCUUGUGGUCGAAAGGCCUCUCAUUGAUAGUUCUGGUAGAGUGUUAAUAAUGUUGGUCGAAUUUUAUUUAAGCUAGGCAAGCUUAGUUGAAAGCAAGACGAGAAUCGAAGGAUGAGAAAUUUUAGUCGAAAACUGUCCGAAAUUGUCGUUAAGUUUCUUAACUAAAUUCCGACCAGUCUAAUACCUUCACCAGCUAUUCUGCUUGCUUUCUCAGUAAAUCAGUCACAUGAGCUGCACCUACCUGCUUGCUUGCUUCACUAAAGUCACAUGAAAGACACAAGCUGGUUGCUUGUUUAAUAAAAAUAAAAUAAUCUUUCUUCAAAGGAGGGAAAGGACAGCAACUUGCUUUGGUUUAAGUAAACCCUCAUCUGAAGCAACUCCUUAUGAUAUAAAAUACCCUCUUCUCUCUUCUGGACGUCCUGUUACUGCAAGAAAAACCAGGGAAAAAUUCAGAGAGAAAGAGAGAAAGAAGAGAGAAAAAUCUGUGAGAAAAACUAGUUGAAAAAUUCAGAAAAUAAUUCAGAGAAGAGAAUUGAGCAUGGAUGAACCUUUCUCACUAUCCUGUGACUUUAAUCAGUGUGUUCAGGUGUGGUUAAGAGCUGAAGGUUUGGUGUCCAAAAGUUUAGAAUCACCCAAGUUCUUUAGCCUUUGAUUUUAUCGGUUAGACGUGUGUUCAGCUUGAAGUUUAUAUCAACCAAGUUCAUCUUAAAGCUUGAGGAAAUCGGAGUGAAAUGGAGUGUUAUUAGUUGAGCUCGAGUCUAGUCUUCCCUAGCCAAUCUCAUGGAAUCAAAGGUGAGUCUAGAUAGAUGAUGAAUGAAUUAUGAAUGAGUAUGCAUGAUUGCAUAUUGAAUAUGGUU